rnacentral:rRNA from 1 species
CAGCCAUCCUUGAAAGAGUGCGUAAUAGCUCACUGGUCAAGUGAUUCUGCGCCGACAAUUUAGCGGGGCUCAAGUUAUCCGCCGAAGCUGUGGCAUUCACAUGUGUGACCGGAAGGUUGUGUGGAUGGGUAGGGGAGCGUCGUGUGCGUGUUGAAGCGGUGGGGUGACCUGGUCGUGGAGUGCAUACGAGUGAGAAUGCAGGCAUGAGUAGCGAAUGACGGGUGAGAAACCCGUCCGCCGAUUAUCCAAGGGUUCCAGGGUCAAGUUAAUCUGCCCUGGGUUAGUCGGGACCUAAGGCGAGGCCGACAGGCGUAGUCGAUGGACAACGGGUUGAUAUUCCCGUACCGGCGAAACAACGUCCGUGCUGGGGCACGCGAUGCUAAGCAUGCGAGACUGUCUGCUGCCUUUCGGGGUGGUGGGUGGUUGAGUCUGUGAUCCGAGUGUGUAGUAGGCAAGCCGCGGAGGGACGCAGGAAGGUAGCUCAUCCUCAGCGUUGGUUGUCUGAGGCUAAGUGUGUAGGGUGGGGUGUAGGUAAAUCCGCAUUCCGUGAUGCCUGAGACACGAUGGGCCUGCACCGUUUGGGUGUGGGUUGAGUGAUCCUAUGCUGCCUAGAAAAGCUUCGUUGGCGAGUUGUUAGCCGCCCGUACCCUAAACCGACACAGGUGGAUAGGUAGAGAAUACCGAGGCGAUCGGGAUAAUCGUGGUGAAGGAACUCGGCAAAAUACCCCCGUAACUUCGGGAUAAGGGGGACCUGAUACGUGACCAGCCUUGCGUUGUGAGCGUUGAGGGUCGCAGAGACCAGGCCCAAGCGACUGUUUACUAAAAACACAGGUCCGUGCCAACUCGUAAGAGGAUGUAUACGGACUGACUCCUGCCCGGUGCUGGAAGGUUAAGGGGAACUGUCAGCCGCAUUUUGUGUGGUGAAGCGGUGAACUUAAGCCCCAGUAAACGGCGGUGGUAACUAUAACCAUCCUAAGGUAGCGAAAUUCCUUGUCGGGUAAGUUCCGACCUGCACGAAUGGAGUAACGAUUUGGGCGCUGUCUCCACCACGAACUCGGCGAAGUUGCACUACGAGUAAAGAUGCUCGUUACGCGCAGCAGGACGGAAAGACCCCGGGACCUUUACUAUAGUUUGGUAUUGGUGAUCGGUGUGACUUGUGUAGGAUAGGUGGGAGACUGUGAAGCCGGGACGCUAGUUUCGGUGGAGUCGCCGUUGAAAUACCACUCUGGUCACUCUGGUUAUCUAACCUAGGACCGUUAUCCGGUUCAGGGACAGUGCCUGAUGGGUAGUUUGACUGGGGCGGUCGCCUCCUAAAAGGUAACGGAGGCGCCCAAAGGUUCCCUCAGCCUGGUUGGCAAUCAGGUAGCGAGUGUAAGUGCACAAGGGAGCUUGACUGCGAGACUGACGGGUCGAGCAGGGACGAAAGUCGGGACUAGUGAUCUUCUGGUAGCGAAUGGAAGCGCCAGGACUCAACGGAUAAAAGGUACCCCGGGGAUAACAGGCUGAUCUUGCCCGAGCGUCCAUAGCGACGGCAUGGUUUGGCACCUCGAUGUCGGCUCGUCGCAUCCUGGGGCUGGAGUU